GAACGCUGGCGGCGUGCUUAACACAUGCAAGUCGAACGCGAAAGGGACUUCGGUCCUGAGUAAAGUGGCGCACGGGUGAGUAACGCGUGGAUAAUCUGCCCUUAUGAUCGGGAUAACAGUUGGAAACGGCUGCUAAUACCGGAUACGCUCAAAAUGAACUUUUUGAGGAAAGAUGGCCUCUGCUUGCAUGCUAUCACGUAAGGAUGAGUCCGCGUCCCAUUAGCUUGUGGCGGGUAACGGCCCACCAAGGCAACGAUGGGUAGCCGAUUUGAGAGGAUGAUCGGCCACACUGGAACUGAAACACGGUCCAGACUCCUACGGGAGGCAGCAGUGGGGAAUAUUGCGCAAUGGGCGAAAGCCUGACGCAGCGACGCCGCGUGAGGGAUGAAAGGUUUUCGGAUCGUAAACCUCUGUCAGAAGGGAAGAAACUACGUUGUGCUAAUCAGCAGCGUACUGACGGUACCUUCAAAGGAAGCACCGGCUAACUCCGUGCCAGCAGCAGC
rnacentral:rRNA from 1 species